AAAGUCUGAUGGAGCACGCCGCGUGAGUGAAGAAGGGUUUCGGCUCGUAAAACUCUGUUGUUGAAGAAGAACAUAUCUGAGAGUAACUGUUCAGGUAUUGACGGUAUUUAACCAGAAAGCCACGGCUAACUACGUGCCAGCAGCCGCGGUAAUACGUAGGUGGCAAGCGUUGUCCGGAUUUAUUGGGCGUAAAGCGAGCGCAGGCGGUUUUUUAAGUCUGAUGUGAAAGCCUUCGGCUCAACCGAAGAAGUGCAUCGGAAACUGGGAAACUUGAGUGCAGAAGAGGACAGUGGAACUCCAUGUGUAGCGGUGAAAUGCGUAGAUAUAUGGAAGAACACCAGUGGCGAAGGCGGCUGUCUGGUCUGUAACUGACGCUGAGGCUCGAAAGUAUGGGUAGCAAACAGGAUUAGAUAACCUGGUAGUCA
rnacentral:rRNA from 1 species